AAAAUAAUAGCAAGAGUGGUUAUGCUGUAAUGAAAGAAUUCCUGGCUCCCUGUUCCACAGCUGACUUGUGCCAUUUUGCUGCUGCUUUAUGGAGUUAAGGAACAUGA
rnacentral:snoRNA from 1 species